rnacentral:tmRNA from 1 species
GGGGUUGUUUAUAGACUCGACAGGCUGUACUUUCAAAAUAUGCAAGCCGACUUUGAAAGAAACGUCGCAAAUCUUUCUUUCAUGAUGAUAAACGCAAACUUCAUCACCAAAGCCAAGAACGCAAUCGCUUCGGCCUUUGCUCCUUCUUUUGCUUUUGCUCGCGCCUAAUCGCGCGUAGCCAUCGGACUCCCGAUUCUCAAUACGGAAUCUCCGGUGCUAUAAACAUUGAGACGCUAUGGGAAAUUUUCUUUUCUUUAAAUCCCGGACGCGUAUUGCCAAAGAAAACUCUCCUUGAGGCUUUGUUUGCUUCUUACUCAGAGAGAUGUACUGAAAGCAAACUACGCUUGUAGACUAUUUUGGAAAAACUUCUCUGGACAUGGGUGCAAUUCCCAUCAACUCCACCA